AUUGAACGCUGGCGGCAGGCCUAACACAUGCAAGUCGGGCGGUAGCACAAAGGAGCUUGCUCCUUGGGUGACGAGCGGCGGACGGGUGAGUAAUGUCUGGGAAACUGCCUGAUGGAGGGGGAUAACUACUGGAAACGGUAGCUAAUACCGCAUAACGUCGCAAGACCAAAGAGGGGGACCUUCGGGCCUCUUGCCAUCGGAUGUGCCCAGAUGGGAUUAGCUAGUAGGUGGGGUAAAGGCUCACCUAGGCGACGAUCCCUAGCUGGUCUGAGAGGAUGACCAGCCACACUGGAACUGAGACACGGUCCAGACUCCUACGGGAGUCAGCCGUGGGGAAUAUUGCACAAUGGGCGCAAGCCUGAUGCAGCCAUGCCGCGUGUGUGAAGAAGGCCUUCGGGUUGUAAAGCACUUUCAGCGGGGAGGAGGGGAGCAGGCUUAAUACGUCUGUUCAUUGACGUUACCCGCAGAAGAAGCACCGGCUAACUCCGUGCCAGCCGCCGCCGUAAUAC
rnacentral:rRNA from 1 species